ACACGUGUCAAUCAUAACACACUUUACAAUUUUUAUUUCUUUUAUAGUUAAGUAUAAUAGUAGUAAUUAGUGUAUAUCGAGUACUUAGACGGUAGUUAGGUAACUCCGCCUGUGUUUGAGGGUGAAUAGAAUAAAUUUUAUAAGAUUAUUUUAUUCUACCUCAUCGCAGCCAGUCCCAAGCCUGGAUAAAGGAGGAGGUGGUAGUUUUGCAUUAAUACAGAAAGUUUCAGAUAUAAUUUGCUCAGUAUGAUGUGAAACACCUCGCUGCCAGUCAAAAAAAUUGAAAACAGUGUUACUUUUUGCGGAUAUUUGUCAUAGGUUUAUAUUAUCUUUUAUAAUCUUCUUAUUAUCUUUCUAAAUUUAUGAUACAACUUAUAUAUUUCAUAUUUUCCAGAUCGCAGAAGACGGACAAACAACACAAAAUAAUAGGUUUAAUAUGACAACAUUAAAUCACAAAAACGCCACAAUUGAUUCCCAGUAGAAAUAGGAAAAUAUAAAAGACCAGUUUCAUCCAUAGGAAGAAAGAUACUACUUAUUUUACCAAUAAAAGGACUUGAGGGCAAAAUAUUUUACAUAUUAGGUACAUAUAAAGUUUUGAUGAAGAAUUUUGAUGAGAAAAAAUAUCAAAAAUGCCACAAAUUACUCUAUAACAUAAAGACAGUUUCAUCAGGAGGAGGAAUGACACAACCAAUAAAAGGAAUAAUUGAAGUCAAAAUAAUUAAACAUAUAUAAAACAGGCUUUGUAUCAGUACAAAAUGGAAUCACCACCAGACGCGCCAGGUGCUCAAAGCAGCGUUACUAAGAAGAAACACGUGAAAGCACUAAACAGACCAUCAUCGUGCUCCGUGGCUUUAUCCGCAUUGCUAGGCUCCUAUUGGUCUUAGCACGAUGUUAUCUAAUAUGUAUGUUUAGCCUAUAAGAUGUUAAUCCGACCGGUUAAUAUAUUAUAUAUUCAAAAUUUUAUGUUUAUCUAUGCACUAUUGUUUGCGUCUAGCCCGGGGUGGGGUAGCAUAUUUUUUGCUUCGAUUAUUAUUUUGUAAAUUGCACCCAAAAAAUAUUCAAGUGUAUUUUCCUACGUUUUUUUAUGUAUAGAUUUUAUUUAAGUUGUAUGUUAUUCGUUUUUUUGUUAUUUUGAUUUUGUAUAAAUUUAUACCUAUAGAUUUUCUUUAAAAAUGAAAAAAUGUAUUACUGUUACCAUAAGUUGAAUAAUAUAGUCAUGUUAAUAAAAUCAUUUUAGUUUAAA